CAGAGAUGAGACGUGUGACCCUUUCAUCCUUCUACCACAGCAACUUCAAGAAACCAGAGCGGGGGGGGGGGGAGAGAGAGAGAGACUGGGAGGAGCGACGGUUUGAGCUCCAGGUGGUCGAGCCUGCGUAAAAACUCACCAAACACACGCCAAACGCUUACGAAAUAGUGGGAAAAGCUAGAUCCUUGCACUUAUAUGAAUGAAUAAGUUGUUUUGAGAAAGCCUGCUGGAUUUGUUGCUGGAUAAAUUACCAAAAGAGCGUAACGUGCUUCGGUGGUGCGUCACUGCGAUCUCCACAGAAAUCGGACAAAACGGCAUCAAACAGGGUGAACUUUAGAUUCUUGGCCAAAAACGACGGCUUGUUUCAGCCACAAGUGGAGAUAUGUUCAAGAAAAGCAAGAGUAAAGUGCUGGUGGAUUAUGCGUCAGAGGAAGACGACAUGUCCUGGCACCAUCAACACUCCUACAAGGAGGACGACAAGUGCUCAAACUUCUGUCAUGCCAGCUGAGGAGGAGAGUGACAGAAAAUGCAGGGGGGUAAAAAAGAAAAGAAAAGAGGAAGCUCAUUGAAAGAACCAAACCAAUCCUAACUUAUUUUACAUGGGGACUGAAUAUAUAAAAUGUAUAAAAAUUCA
rnacentral:lncRNA from 1 species